rnacentral:rRNA from 1 species
GGUUAAGCGACUAAGCGUACACGGUGGAUGCCCUGGCAGUCAGAGGCGAUGAAGGACGUGCUAAUCUGCGAUAAGCGUCGGUAAGGUGAUAUGAACCGUUAUAACCGGCGAUUUCCGAAUGGGGAAACCCAGUGUGUUUCGACACACUAUCAUUAACUGAAUCCAUAGGUUAAUGAGGCGAACCGGGGGAACUGAAACAUCUAAGUACCCCGAGGAAAAGAAAUCAACCGAGAUUCCCCCAGUAGCGGCGAGCGAACGGGGAGGAGCCCAGAGCCUGAAUCAGUGUGUGUGUUAGUGGAAGCGUCUGGAAAGGCGCGCGAUACAGGGUGACAGCCCCGUACACAAAAAUGCACAUACUGUGAGCUCGAUGAGUAGGGCGGGACACGUGGUAUCCUGUCUGAAUAUGGGGGGACCAUCCUCCAAGGCUAAAUACUCCUGACUGACCGAUAGUGAACCAGUACCGUGAGGGAAAGGCGAAAA